rnacentral:rRNA from 1 species
AUUAACGCUGGCGGUGUGUCUAAUACAUGCAAGUCGUGCGAUCCGUAGCAAUACGGAUAGCGGCGGACGGGUGAGUAACACGUUGGAACCUGCCCUAAACUCAGGGAUAACUCCGAGAAAUCGGAGCUAAUACCGGAUAGUCCCUAACGGGUAAAGCUACGGCGGUUUAGGAGGGGCCUGCGGCCUAUCAGCUAGUUGGUGAGGUAAUGGCUCACCAAGGCUAUGACGGGUAGCUGGUCUGAGAGGAUGAUCAGCCACAAUGGGACUGAGAUACGGCCCAUACUCCUACGGGAGGCAGCAGUAGGGAAUCUUUCGCAAUGGGCGAAAGCCUGACGAAGCAACACCGCGUGAUCGAUGAAGUUCUUUUGAAUGUAAAGAUCUUUUCUGGGGGAAGAAUUAUGACGGUACCCUAGGAAUAAGCACCGGCAAACUCCGU